CCAGGGAUCAGAUCUGAGCUGCAGCUGCAACCUAUGCCACAGCUGCAGCAACACCGGAUCCUUAAUGCACUGUGCCAGGCUGGGGAUUGAACCUGCGUCCCAGAGCUCCAGAGAUGCCACAGAUUCUUUUGCACCACCGCGGGAAACCCCUAAUUUAACAAAUUAAAAAAAAUAAAUAGGGAGUUCCCAUUGUGGCUCAGCAAUUAACAAACCCGAUUAGUAUUCAUGAGGAUGUGGGUUUGAUCCCUGGCCCCACUCAGUGGCUUAAGGAUCUGGUGUUGUCAUGAGCUGUGGUGUAGGUCACAGAUGCUACUCAGUUCCUGAGUUACUGUGGCUGUGGUGUAGGCCGGCAUCUGCAGCUCUGAUUCAACCCCUAGCCCAGGAACCUCCAUAUGCUGUGGGUGUGGCCCUAAAAAGACUAAAUAAAUAAAUAAAGGGGAAUGGAUAUUGCCUCCCUCCCAGGAGAAAUGAGAUCGAGAAAGUACAUAGACCGUCGAGAGACAGAAGGGCAGGGAUCUCCCCUGGCUCCUUUGGGGAGCCCCUCUCAGUGGCUUUUCUGGAAAGGCUGGGACAGGACAGCUGAAGGGCCCUGCUGAUGGCUGUGGACGCUUACUAGAGAAGGCAGAAGGGGGGAAAGAUUCAGUCUGGUCUCUGUUCCUGUGUCCCGACUGUGAGACUACCACGUUGGCAGAACAUCUGUGUCCCCGUCCCUCCCCCCCCCCCCACUGGGGACAGCAGCUUGGGGCAGGGCGCAAUCAGCCACAUGUUUUCUGCUUGCCGUGGGUGGUGGGGUCUUAAGAGAUGGGUCCAGGGACCUGGUGUACCUUCCCCAACAAAGAUGAGCAAAGAGCACAUUCAUUCCUGUACCUGUGAUCUCAGACUUCAAUGCGGAGGCUGCAUGAUACGGUGGGAAGGUCUGGCUUGGGCUCAGGUGCCACCACUUACUUGGAUAGGGUGGACUUUGGGUCAUUUGCUGAAGAAUCCCCCCGUACUUGCUGUCCUGAGGACCCAGUGCAGUGACUGGUGGAAAACGGCUGGCACACGGGAGGGAGUCGGUCAGCUCGCCUCAGUCUCCCCUCCGCCUCCCUCAGGGCAGGAGUUGCCAGAGCUAUCUCCCCGUGCCCCCCAGGAUCUGAAGUGUGUAGGGCCCAUGAUUCAUUUUCAGUAGAAACCUGCUAAGUGAAUCGUGAGCUGGGCUUCUGUUGACAGGCUACUCCGAAAGCAAACUGUUUGUCAAAAUCUGAUAGACACUCUGCACAAAGCCAGAGCCAGGGAUUGGGGAAAGGAUCGUGUCACCAUCACCACUGGACAAAGACUGGGCUGGCCUGGUGCUGGAUUACGCCAGGAACAUGUGUGCUUCACUGGGCCGAAGGCUGCGAUAUGGGAUGGAAAACGAGCCUGUCGGGGAGAGCUGGCAGGUUUUCUGGAUCGAAACAGGGCAGGGCGGGCCAGGUUGGGCCCGAGCCAUCAGCUGGGGCCAUAGCACUGUCAAGUUUUUGGGAUCCCAAUGUCAUCGUGACAUGAAUCACCAACGGGGGCUUGGACAGGCAAAUGGAAAUGUGAUGAUGCCCUGGAGGAACUGGGGGACAGCGUAGGGCCAAGCCUGACACAUAUUGCAAGUUUGGGCCCCUUUCUUAGCUCUUAGCUCUCCUUUAACUGCGGGAGAAAGGCUGGGGAAAAGCUGGGCGGGGGCAGCAACGGAGCAUGGAUUCCAAUCAACUCCCCUCUUCCACACGAAGGAGCACUAUGCAGCCAACAAAGAUAAUAAGACAGAGAUACAUAUGUUGGUGGAGAACUCUGCUCGCUGGCCCAUCGGCUCAGUCACCUCUGCUGGGAAGCAUCAUCUUGGCUCCUGCCUCCCGCCGCUUCGGCUGUUCACUCCACCUUCCCAUUUAGAGGAGGGAGUGGCUUCUAUCCUGUCCAUUUCAGAGCAUGGGAUUGUUUUUAUGACAUACUGUAUACUUGCAUCGUUUUUUUUUUCUUCUCUUGGUCACAUCUGAAGCAUAUGAAAGUUCCCAGGCCAGGGAUCAAAUCUGAGCUGGAGGAGUUCCCCUCGUGGCUCAGUGGUUAACGAAUCUGACUAGGAACCAUGAGGUUGUGGGUUCGAUCCCUGGCCUCGCUCAGUGGGUUGAGGAUCCGGCGCUGCCGUGAGCUGUGGUGUAGGUUGCAGACACAGCUCGGAUCUGACGUUGCUGUGGCUCUGGCGUAGGCCAGCGGCUACAGCUCCGAUUGGACCCCUAGCCUGGGAACCUCCAUAUGCUGCGGGUGCGGCCCUAGAAAAGACAAAAGACAAAAAAAAAAAAUCUGAACUGGAACUGUGACCACAGUGGGAACUUCUACUUGCAUCAUUUUUAACUAUGAUUUUAUUCUAGUUUCCUCCUCUAGUCUCCCUGAAAACAGUCACUGAACACAUGUAAGCAACAGCUUGGAAGAAUUCACGUUCAGUUCAAAUUUUAAUGAGCAUCUACUGUGGAUACAGGACAGGGUGCUCUCCCAGAUGAAUGAGCUGGGGACAGAUGCUCCCGUAUGUGGCUCACUGUGACAGGAGGCAGCCUGAGGCUGAGGCUCUAAAUGAAGUCCUUAUUUUACCAAGAGACAGAGGCAUGGAUCCAGCCUGUCUGGCCUUCCACUUUCUGAAAAGAGCCUCAAAAAUGUUUUUUUUCAAUUAGCCAUUUGCCUACCAAUUCUCUCUAGAACUGUUAAAAAAACAAACAAAAAAGAUCCAGAAGUUCCCUGGUGGCCUAGUGGUUAAGGAUCCGGCAUGAUCACUGCUGUGGCUUGGGUCCCUGCUGUGGUGUGGGUUCAAUCGCUGAGAACUUCCAUAAACCAGUGGCAUAAAGACAACAAUAACAACAGAACAAAAAACAACCAAACCCAACUAAUCAGAGGUGACAAUACAGUACAGAAGAGAAGGAUGAGGACCUGAGCCACAGCACGCACUGCCCUUCUACUGGGCUUGUAGGGGUGAUGGCGUGUCACCCACCUCAGAGGCUAUUAAGGUGAAGUCAUGUUCCAGAGCCAGCUCAGUAGCAGGUAGGUCUUCUCUCCCACAAACAGCCAGAUGGCUGAAACCAAUCCGAUGUCAAGUUAAGUGUUACCUUUCCAACACCAGGACGAAGGUCACAUUAUUUCACUCCAAAUUACCCAGCGUCUGUGAGUCCUCUAUGCUCUAUAUUCACAGCCGAGUCCCUCUUUGAUAGACACCCACACCAGAGGGGGAGGGUCUCCUCCUGGGCUCUGUCCAGGGAGCAUUUUGAGGGAGACAGAUUAGUCCAGAGAGGAUGCCUGUCUGCCAGGAACCAGGCAGGUACAGGAAGGGUGUCGGAGCCAAGCCCACACUUGAUAAAAGGCUGCAGAAACAGGAAAGUGGCAACAGUCUUUAAAGGCAAAAAGCCCCUUUUAUCUCGUCAUCACUGAACUUUGUAUAUUUUAAGAAAGGGAUU
rnacentral:lncRNA from 1 species